AGGGCAGAACGCCUGCUCUCGGACAGAUCUGGGGACCCUUCACCUGCCUCUACUACUGCAAAUGAUUGGAUAUUCGUCUGACUUGGCUCUUCCCUAAUGUGUGGAACUAAUUUUGUUCACUCUGUUUCAUGCUGGACCUGGCCUGAAAAUGGGCCCUUAUAUUGUCUUUGCACUUUCCAACUUGCCAAGUUUCUGAAAGAAGGACCAAAGUAAUGCCAAGAACUCCCAGAUGAAGAGGACCUUCCUUAGACCUAUAACAGAUUCACUACUUGACUUCAGAGGGAAGUUUCAGCUAAUUCUCAGGAAAAGGUCAAAACAGGCCUGUGACUGUCCCUUGAAUACUGAAGGUAUAAACAAGCUUCUGGCUCCUCCAGGUCAAGCAGAGGAACACUUUUAUUAGAAUGAAGGGUUACUUCUUUGUUAUUCAAACACACACCCACACACAUCCUCUGUAGUCUCCCUAAUGAAAAACCUCAACAGAUGGAGAGCCUGAGCUCCCAAGUCCGCAGGCUGAGAAGAUGCACUUCACUCAAGGGCCAGUGGGCUGGUACAGACUAGGGAAGAGAAAAGGGACAAAGGCUGCUAGUAUAGGUAAUCACUAUCUUUUAAUACUCCUAACACAUAGAAAUUCGAAAAAUCUUGUUCAGCAAUGUUAGCAGCCUGUGAGCCUCGGAAACUAAUUUGGCUGAUGUGUCUCUGAUAGGGAGCUUGGGGCUGCACCAAGGGGAAACAUUCUCCUCCUGUAUUCUCUCCUCUCUCUCGUUUGAAAGCCUGUACAAAGAAAUGGUACAAAUGGAUGGUUAACUUAAUGAUUCCAUCAGAGGCAGAUUUUUCUCUGUCAGGUCCCUGGAUAAGGUGGAGGUCUGAAAGCCAGGAGACAGAAUAUGUACUUAAUCGCCCUUUCUGACCUGCUUACCAGUGACCAGGACUACUCUCCAGGCCUUUCUUCUGCCACUUCCCCAUUCUUCCUGGCUAGUUCAGUUGGGUCUCAGCACUUCAACUCCUGGCUGGAUCCUGAGUUUUUCUUGGUUGCAGGGAAAGCUCUCACUGUCUGCAUCUCCUUCCCCACCCCCACCUCCCGUUUUGCAGCUGGCCAUUCUGGCUGCCUCACAGCUAUCCUGCCUUAAUUCAUAUUUGAUUGCCUGGACAGAACCACCUAGAAUGUCCAGACGACUGCCACCCCUCAGCCAUGGGCCUGAGAUCCUGCCCUGACCCCUUUCUUCAGACCCCAGGAGGACCCACAAUCUCCCUGAUCCCCACCUUCCCCAAAGUAGUCUCUAGGAAAAAAGCAGAGCUGGCUAAGGCCUGAGACAGAGCCAUUUCUUCCCCUUGGGCAAACGAGGUAGACCCUCCCAGAGACCAAUGCCGGAGAGGCCCGGAUCCGAGCUCCCUUUAUAUGGCCUCCCCCAUCACGGAUCCCGUGGGAAAACCUGACACACAAUGGCGCGGCUGCUCCGGGCACCCUCAACCCAGCGCCCUGCGGCAAGGCCUGGAGCAGCCUGGUGGUCUUGGUGCGCUCCCUUUGCCCUCCCCGCAACCCUCUGCGAGCACUCGUCCCAGGAGAGAGACCCUGGCUAGGGUGGAGGUUGCCUCCCGCAAAGGGCGCUGUUGCUGGGGCCUCCCCUCCCCCAUUCUCUUGUUUUUCUGCUUCUGAGACUCGGGAGGGAGGCGGCAGGCGCCUCCGCAGCCGAUAGAGCAGCUAUUGUGACCUUCCCUUGCAGAGCGGGAACCCAGCCGAGUGUGUACCGCCGGCGGUGGCGGGGGAGGAGGCGACUGUGUGUGCAAACCUCAGUCGGAGAGGGGGUGGCGCUGGGAAAUAAAGGUUUGCAACCUCAGGCAGUUGGGCCCUUCAGAGGGCGUUUGGUUGUGUUUAGACUCGGUUGCUUUCUAACACUAAUUGCAGGCUCAAAAGGAGCGGAAUUUAUUGCGAAGGCCAAGGCGGCUUGUUUAUAAUUUAUGAAGUUUUAAAUGGCUGUGCCGCGGGCCCCAACUUUCUCCUGGGCUGGCAGCCGCGCGGAAACGCGCCCUCCCCCGGCUCGCCGCCCACCCCCACCCACGCCCCUCAGAUGAGUCUCACGCCAAUGGCAGGAACAGAUCCGAGCUAUUAGAAGUCUCGGGAACCUCCAGAGAUGACAGAAGGUGGCAGAUUUGGUCCAAGCCCUCACCCCACUCGAGAGGAGGGCGUCGGGGAAAGCUGUGGCUGCCUGGAGAGGGAGCCCCUGAUCCCACACUUCCUUGGAGCCUGAGUGUGAGAGGAAGCUAAUGUCAGCCGGGCUAGACACCGUUUAAAGUCUAAUCCAUGAAACCCUAAGCCGCAAAUGACACUUGGGGCUUUGCAGACACCCGCAGACUCAGCAGAUACUCCUGCGGUAACACACUGUGCUGGAAAACGCCUGGAGCCAUGACACAUUACGUAUUUUUAUUAUUAUUUAUGGUAGGAAGAGGAGAUGAGGGAAAAUCGGGCUGAAUCUAAGCAGCCUGACAAUUCAGCUAGUUAAUAUUUAGCCAGUUAAGAAAGGUGGUUGUAAUCCCUGCAAGGCAGUGAGCUCUCCUUUGAUUUCUCUAAUAGCUUAAAAAAUAAUUUCUUACAAGACAAUUAGAAAUUCUGCCUAUGGAUGCAAAUUUCAUAGAAAACAAUGUUAAGCCUUGAAAGUGGGUAAAAUGUGCCUUCGAUUGAAGUCAUUUAUUCUGUUGAUACACUUCUACAACAUAUAUAUUUUAAACCUGCUCAGAUAAAGUGAAAUUUAGCAAAAGGAUAUCCCCUCCCACCCCCAAAUCUAACAUGCCAUUUUAAAAACAGCACAAAGGAACAAGGAAACUAAAUAUUAUUUUGAGCCAUCAUUACUUAGUGAAAUACAAACAUCCAAAUAGAAACGAUUGUUGUUCCACCAGAAGAUUAGAAGUUAAAUUAUUUCCACACAAUAGGAAUUUCACUUCGUGUCAUCGGGGAUGUAGUAGGAGUUGCAUUAUUUGUCAAACCAAAUAGAGAUGCGUGGGCUGACUUUGCUGAAAUACAAAAGAAUUGAACCUUAUCUGAAGGCGUUUUCUAAGUGGCCCCUCCCAUAGAAGCCGGGAAGUUGUCCACCCCUAGCAGAAGCCACAUUAAUAUUUACAAAAUGGUUAUAAAUCCUUGAAGACAUUUUUGCCCAUUUUGUAUAAGAAACAGGAGUAAACAAGGUGUUUAUACUUGUUAUGUUUCAUUAAUGAAAUAUUAUUACUUUACAUCUUGGGGAAUGUUUGUUUUCUUUAGAAAUGAACUAAUGAUCACUACAAAGGAAGAAUUCAUGACAGCAUUUCCUAGAGAAAAAGCUUAGGUACGCGUCUCCAAAUGAUGGUUUCUUUUUCUACACCUUAGCUUUUUCAUAGCUCAAUUCUUCUUACAACUUCUCUUGUGUUUUUUCUUUGAUUGUCAGUUUUCUUUCAAAGUUUAUUUUUUGUUACUUAAUGCAGAAAAGUGAGCUCUGGUCUCCCCAGUGUAAAAGUCGAUUGUGUCUAGAAAGAAGGCAGUAAAAACAGCAAAGCAGGCGCUGCUUUCAAAAAGCCCUGCCCAAAUCAUCCCGCCCAGAACCUUCUUAGGUUUGCAUCCUCAUUUCCCCCUCCCCUAAUUUCAAUAGCUGGAAAGUAAUCAAGUAUCCCGAGAACCAAUUUAUGCACUAGACUCCAAAUAAAUAAAAUAUUUUUUUCAAAGUGUCAGUCUGUUUCGGGGCCUUCCAUGGGGAUUGUGCGAGAUAAAGGCAUAGUGAUCUGCUUGCAAGUGUGCAUGAUUAACACAGAUACAGUUCCGACUGGGAAAUUUUUUUAUUCUAAAUAUUUGUUCCAAUAGUACCAGACAAUUUGAAAUCAAUAAACUGUGGUGAGGACUGUGGUUUUUGAGAAAUGACCAAAGUGUGUUGUGCCACGCCACCGGGCUUCCUGACUCUACCCAUGAAGGACAAUUUGCGGUCUUAAUCCUUUAUGUCAACUACAAACACCAGCCACGGUUACGACUGUUCAAAACUACUCUCUCAACUAGUUCAGACCAGGGGGACUAAGGAGGUGAAAUGUGGCCCCCACGGCCUGGAAGCGAAUUCCUAAGCUCGGCUGGAUAAAUCUACAAAUAUACACAUAAAUACAUUCAGACAAGGAUAAAUAAUCAGGGAACGAAAUGACUCGCUUCAAAUAAUAAAUACAGAUAGUUUAGUCCGAUGCAAUCCUUACGGCACAGGAAGGAGAAUAUAAAUUAAGGUCUCUGAAACUAAGCUAGACGCGGGCCAGGCCCAAGACUCUCCAAGCUCUGGUCCCUCUGCAGGGCGCGCCGCUGAUGGGUCUCAGACUUACCUUUGGGACACCAUUACCAGAUUGGAGUCCCUUGGUCCGCAGUAUGUGGCACUGUCAAAUUUACAGGGAAGGAUCCUUGCGGCUGAUUUAUGGCGAGUCACCCAAAGGACGCCCAUGGAGGGGAGGCCCGGUCGCCUGCGCCUCCGCCGCUGGAGGCCUGAGACCCGGGAGGCGGCGGCAGGGCAAGAGCGGGGAAGGGGGUUCCCGAACUGCCCCGCGG
rnacentral:lncRNA from 1 species